UACAUUAGGGAACACUUCUGAGCCUCGCAGC
rnacentral:piRNA from 1 species